GACGAACGCUGGCGGCGUGCUUAACACAUGCAAGUCGAGCGGUAAGGCCCUUCGGGGUACACGAGCGGCGAACGGGUGAGUAACACGUGGGUGAUCUGCCUCGUACUCUGGGAUAAGCCUGGGAAACUGGGUCUAAUACCGGAUAUGACCACGAAUCGCAUGGUUUGUGGUGAAAAGAUUUAUCGGUGCGAGAUGGGCCCGCGGCCUAUCAGCUUGUUGGUGGGGUAAUGGCCUACCAAGGCGACGACGGGUAGCCGGCCUGAGAGGGCGACCGGCCACACUGGGACUGAGACACGGCCCAGACUCCUACGGGAGGCAGCAGUGGGGAAUAUUGCACAAUGGGCGGAAGCCUGAUGCAGCGACGCCGCGUGCGGGAUGACGGCCUUCGGGUUGUAAACCGCUUUCGACAGGGACGAAGCGUGAGUGACGGUACCUGUAGAAGAAGCACCGGCCAACUACGUG
rnacentral:rRNA from 1 species